CCCUUAGAUGUCCUGGGCCGCACGCGCGCUACACUGAUGCAUUCAACGAGUCUACCUUGGCCGAGAGGCCUGGGCAACCUUUUAAACGUGCAUCGUGAUAGGGAUAGAUUAUUGCAAUUAUUAAUCUUGAACGAGGAAUUCCUAGUAAACGCAAAUCAUCAAUUCGCAUUGAUUACGUCCCUGCACUUUGUACACACCGCCCGUCGCACCUACCGAUUGAAUGGUCCGGUGAGGACUCGGGAUUUUUACCAGUUUCCUUCAUUGGGAAUUGGUGAGGAGAACUUGUCCAAACCUUAUCAUUUAGAGGAAGGUGAAGUCGUAACA
rnacentral:rRNA from 1 species